AACGAACGCUGGCGGCAUGCCUAACACAUGCAGGUCGAACGAGACCUUCGGGUCUAGUGGCGCACGGGUGCGUAACACGUGGGAAUCUGCCCUUUGCUUCGGAAUAACAGUUAGAAAUGACUGCUAAUACCGGAUGAUGUCGAAAGACCAAAGAUUUAUCGGCAAAGGAUGAGCCCGCGUAGGAUUAGGUAGUUGGUGGGGUAAAGGCCUACCAAGCCGACGAUCCUUAGCUGGUCUGAGAGGAUGAUCAGCCACACUGGGACUGAGACACGGCCCAGACUCCUACGGGAGGCAGCAGUGGGGAAUAUUGGACAAUGGGCGAAAGCCUGAACCAGCAAUGCCGCGUGAGUGAUGAAGGCCUUAGGGUUGUAAAGCUCUUUUACCAGGGAUGAUAAUGACAGUACCUGGAGAAUAAGCUCCGGCUAACUCCGUG
rnacentral:rRNA from 1 species